rnacentral:misc_RNA from 1 species
UUUCCGUAGGUGAACCUGCGGAAGGAUCAUUAAUGAGUUGUCAUGGGGUUCGAUGCUGGCAGCCAGUUUUUGGAUGCAUGUGCUUGCCCUAACAAUCAUCUUCUUCCAAACACCUGUGCACAUUUUUGAGGGCGUCUUGAGUUGGUUGCCGCUCUUGGGUGAUUUUCUCACAUUCCCUUAAAUCAUUAUACGCUAUUAACAAUGUUGAACAUGCUCUGUGGCGCAAGGCCAUUAAUAUAAUACAACUUUUAACAACGGAUCUCUUGGCUCUC